rnacentral:rRNA from 1 species
UACAGGGGGGGGCAAGCGUUGUUCGGAAUUACUGGGCGUAAAGGGCCAGUAGGCGGCCAACUAAGUCCGACGUGAAAUCCCCAGGCUUAACCUGGGAACUGCGUCGGAUACUGGAUGGCUUGAAUUCGGGAGAGGGAUGCAGAAUUCCAGGUGUAGCGGUGAAAUGCGUAGAUAUCUGGAGGAAUACCGGUGGCGAAGGCGGCAUCCUGGACCGACAUUGACGCUGAACGGCGAAAGCUAGGGGGAGCGAAAUGGACGGUA